UACGGAGGGUGCGAGCGUUGUCCGGAAUCACUGGGCGUAAAGGGCGCGUAGGCGGCAUGCCAAGCGUGUGGUGAAAGCCCGGGGCUCAACCCCGGGUCGGCCGUGCGGACUGGCGUGCUCGAGCACUGUAGGGGCGGGUGGAAUUCCGGGUGUAGCGGUGGAAUGCGUAGAGAUCCGGAAGAACACCGGUGGCGAAGGCGGCCCGCUGGGCAGGAAGGGUCGCAAGAGCCGGCUGACGCUGAGGCGCGACAGCGUGGGGAGCAAACAGG
rnacentral:rRNA from 1 species